CCACAAAAGUACCGAUCGUCUUUAAUGCAGGUGUGAGGUGGCAAAAGAUUUGAUGGUUGGUAUCCGAUAUCUCAAGUUCGAAUCCAAAUUGAUUCACAUUUUCAGCUAAAUUUAUUUUUUAAAAAUUAAACGAAACAGGUAAAAUGCUACAUUUCUUUCUCUCUCAACAAAAAAGCCCAUAAUAGUGAGUGUGUUGCACUCACAUAAUUUCUGUUCGAAAAUGGGUCUAACCAGCUUUGCACUUGGGUUCAGGUUAGGUUUUAGUCAUUUUGAGCCGAAGACGAGCCUGAUGUCGAACUAAUCAUUUUGAGUCAGACUCGUAUUUUGGUUUAACUUGAUACGAAUUCAGUUCCGGUCCAUUUGAACAAUUUAACUAAAGAUAAGAAACAGUUUGAAAGUAGAAAAUCAAAAUGUAAGGAGCAUGCGAGUACCGUGAGCUCGACGUCGAUCGACUCCCAUCCCGCCAAAGUUGAAAAGUUGAUAUUCAAUGAGAAUUCGAAUAAUCUCGUAACUUCAGUGUUCGAAAUAAAUUCCCGCUUACAUUCUGAAAUCCGCACAAUCAAUCUAGCUAUAAGAGGUGUUAGGUUUUUGUUAAACUCAAACAAUAGAUUCUGUGAUAAAAAAGAAAAGAAAAAAAAAAUGAACGAAUCGAGCCCGAAUAAUCUAAUUUCACGUUUCAACUAGGGAUGUCAAUAGGUACGGAUACCCGAAAUUUUAUCCGAAUCUAAAUCCGAACGGAACGAAUUUAUCCGAUGCUAAAUGGAUAUGGAUAUCAAAAAUAAAAUCCGAUAGAUAUGGAUAUGGAUAUGGAUUUUGACUAUACCUGAUCUGAAUCCGAACCCGACCUGAAUCCGAAUUUAUUUUACAUUAUAUAUAAUAUGUAUAUGAAAAUUUGAUAUUAUAUUUAAAUUUAUAUUUUAAAAUUUUAAAUUUAAUAUAAUAUAUUUUGAAAUAUUGAAAAGAGAAUAAUUAUUUCGGAUUCAUAUUUACGGAUUCGGGUUCAGGUUCGGGCUUCGGGUUUUUGGUUGGUUCGGAUUUGGAUAUAGAUUUUUAAAAUUCGUUAGGUUCAGAUUCGAGUUUGGGUUCGAAUUUCGAAUUUGAAGUCGGGUUAGGAUUCGAAUUUUUAAAAAUCCGUCCCAAAUUUGACCCGACAUCCCUAAUUUCAACUUAAUUAAAUCCCAAUUCAACUACAUUUUUUAUUUUUAUAUACGCGUUAUCUUUUAUUUUUUAUCAUUAGAAUAAGGAUUGGAUAAGCAUUCACCGCACACCACCCGUCCCCACGCCAUUUGGAUGAUACGGAAUCAUAGUCGCCACCGAUUCUUCUGAGUCGCUGUCUCACUCUUAUCCAUCCGUCAGAUUCUUUUUUUUUUUUUUUUUUUUUUUUUUUUUUUUUUUGGUUAUCUAUUCUCCAAAGUAAGCUUAUUUCUAAGGCUAAAUUACACUUUGAUCCUCAAACUAUAAAUUACUUGACAUUUUGGUCAAGUAUUCUGAAUUAUUGUAAUUAUGUCUCGUAAUUAAAUUUAGUUGACUAGAUAUUAGUAUGCCACUAAUAUAAUAGUUAUGUAGCAGUGUUGUGGUGGAUGAUAAGAUAGUAAUUAAGAUGUCACAUUAUUUACAUCAGUGAUGCAUCAAUAUUUAAUCAAUUAAAUUAGAUUGUGGACAUCAGCGAUGCGUCAAUAUUUAAUUAAUUAAAUUAGAUUGUGGGACUUGAUCGUAAUAGUUCGUAAAGUUCGAGUCUGAAGAUAUAACAUUAGAGAAACAAAAAUGUUGCACAUAGUUUGAGAGAAAAAAAGUGCAGUUUAGUCUAUAUCUGAUAGAACAAUACUAUUUAUGCACCAAUAUGGGGGGCGUAAAUCAUAUACCUCAUAGGACUUUUUAGCUCAUAUUCCACUUGUCCCGUCAAGUUUGUUUAAACUAAAUUUUUUUAAAAAAAUUUAUCAAUCUUUAGAUCUUAAGAUGUAAGAUUUAUGUCCCCUACAAAGGGUGUACAAAUAGCAUUUUUGUUUCUAAAGAUGUGUUUAGGUUCGAAGUUUUACCGGUAUUCACAAAAUGUGGUUUUUUUUAUGAUAUUAUACGUCUAAAUUUAUACAAAUAUGGAGGCUCGUAAUUUGAUAUGGGCCAAGAGACACCUUAUUAUAAGAUAAACUAUACGAAGAUAUUUUAAUUAUAAUCUAUUUAAAUAACAAACACAAUAUAGAGUAGUUUAGAAAGUGUAGGUUUUUUAUAUUUAUAAGAUCGAGAGUUCAAACCCCAGAAUGAUGAAGAGCCUCUCAACUUAAAGUUAUAUUGAAUUUGAUCAAACUACAUUAUUUUCUAGUUUCAUUUAUUUUGAUUUCAGUUAGUCUAGUCCAUCAAAUUGUAAAUUUUGUUAAAUCUAAUAAUUUCUUAAUCUAUAAUAAGUCUUUAAUUAUUUCUGCACUACCUUUUAGCCAAAAAAGCAAUCAAAAUAGUUAAAUUUAACAAAAUCACUACUUAAUUUAACAAAUUAAAAUAAAAAAGCCAAUUUGCAUAAAAAUUCACUAGUUUUGCGAUUUUUCAAAAGUAGGCUACUAUUUUGAAUUUUAGAUAUUCGGACCGGAUUUUCAAUAAACCGGCCAAAGUAUCCUUANUUUUUUUUUUUUUUUUUUUUUUUUUUUUUUUUUUUCCUUCUUGUUGGCUUAAAUGGACCAGCAUUCUGCCCUAUGACGGGAGGCCAUGUUGGGCCGAGUCAUGUUCGAAAUGGCGUGAGGCUGAGUGGGCCCAGUUAUGUUCGAAGUGGCGUGAGGCUGGUUGGGCUGAGUCACAAUCGAGACCCGUGAGCGCUGUAUCUGUACGCUUUAAGUAAAUUGGUUGCGUAUUUCUAACAGCUCGAGCUUUUGGAAUUAAUGGUUAGCACUAACGACCAACAAGUGAUAUCAGAGCCAGAGAUCACGGGUUCGAUUCCCGUAUGCUGCAAAUAUGUGUAGGUACUGAAGGGGAGAUUGUUGGCUUAAAUGGGCCAGCAUUCUAUCCUGUGGCGGGAGGUCAUGUUGGGCCGAGUCAUGUUCGAAAUGGCGUGAGGUUGGGUUGGCCGAGUCAUGUUCGAAGUGGCGUGAGGCUGGUUGGGCCGAGUCACAAUCGAGAUCCGUCGGCGCUGUAUCUGUACGCUUUAAGUGAAAUGGUUGCGUAUUUCUAACAGCUCGAGCUUUUGGAAUUAUGGUUAGCAUCAAUGAUCCGACACUUCUUUUUUUUUUUCUCCGACCUUUAUCGCCUCCUUCACCACCUCCGUGGCCUCGGCGACGAUAAUGAGGAUAGCGCUACCCUCUCUUCUUUCAUCUCUUCCCUCCACUAGCGCCGGCGGCCCUCGGCGACGGUAACGAGGGCGGUGCCAUUUUCUCUUCCUCUGUCUUCGUCUCCGCCUACGGCGCCUUCGCCGGAGAAGAAAAAGGAGAACUCGGAGAGAGCCUGAGUAAGGGCGAAGCGAACAGAGGCGAUGAGGUUAUUGCCGAAGAGGUGCUCGCCACCCGUAAGGGUGAGGAAAAAAGAUAUGCUUAUCUCUAAGGAGCAAACGAAAAUACAAAGAUUAAAAAAAAAGAAUACAAAGGAAAAAAAAUAAAGAAAAUUUUUUUUCUUUGAAAGACCAUUGUAUAUCGUUGUUGUUACUAAAAAAUUUAAGAAUCAGAGGAAAAGAAAGAAGAAGAUGAAUGUUGCACUAUUAAAAUAAAAUUGUUCUGUUUUAUAAGAAAAUUGCACUGUAUAAUAUGAACGUUAUACUCUUUGGCAUGAAAAUUACACUCUUUAAAAUAAAAGUUGCACUCUUUCGACAAAAAUUACACUAUUUUAGAAAAAAUUGCACUUCUCUCCGACCCUCAUCCCCUCUUCUUCUUCUUCUUCCUCUUUCCUUGACCCCUUUCCUCCUUCCCCCUCUGAUCCCUAUCGUCACCAACGCAAGCCUCUCUAUCCCGCGUGCAACAUUGGAGUGCUGUAACAUAAAAACGAUCUCAUCGCCUUCGUCCGCCUUUUCCUCACUCGGGCCUUCUCCGAGUUCUCCUUCUCCUUCUCCGGCGCUGGCGAAGGCGGAGGUGGAGGCGGAGGCAGCACCGCGCUUGUUACCGUCACUGAGGGCCGUCGGCGGCGGCAGAGAAGGAGAUGGAGAAAGCAAGAUAGAGGAAAUAGAGGUAGUGCCGCCGUUGUUACCGUUACCGAGAGCUGUGGAGGCGGUGGAGAAAGUGGUAAGGGUCGAAGAGAAAAAAAAAAAAAAAGAACGAAGGAAAACAAAAGAAGAGAGAGAGGUAGCUCGUUUCCGUGUUUUGGCACUCUGAUUAAACGCCCGGGGUAGAAAGGCUCGCAUGGUAGGGUUGGAGAUCGGAGGCAGAGGGUAAGGAGGGGGGUCAAGGGAAUAGAAGGAAAAAGAAGAAGAUGAUGCGAUGAGGGUCGGAUAAUAGUGAAAUUUUUUUCGAAAUAGUAUAAUUUUUAUUGAAAGAGUGCAACUUUUACUUUAAAGAGUGCAAUUUUUAUCUAAAAAAUCGUAACGUUCAUAUUAAAUAGUACAAUUUUUAUAUUAAACAAUGUAAUUUUCUCCAAAAAAAUUAGUAAAAUGAAUAAUAAAAAGAGAAAAAUGAAACAACAGGAUACUAACUUGAUACACUUUAAACCAUAGAGUACUAAAGUGAGAAAAUGCGAAACCACAGGGGCAAACUUGAUACACUUUAAACCACAUGAUACUAAAGUGAGAAAGUGUGAAACCACAAAGGAGUAUUUGAAGUUUACCUUAAUAAUAAAAAUAAAACUGGAAAUUUGGGAAAAAUAAAAAAAUAAAAAAUUGUGUCAUGAGACACAUACAGAUACAAUUAAACGUCACAAAUUUCAUAUCGUUUUAGCUAAUAAAAAAAAAGUAUUUCUAAUAUUGUGUGCUUCCGCUGUUAAGCUAAUAGUAUUUAGAUAAUAUUUUAUUAAAUAAUACUAUCUAGUUCAGUAAGAUAAAAUAGACUCUAAAAUAAAGCUUCCUUAAAACUCGGGCUAAACAUAUAUCCAUACAUAAUCAACAAAAUUUAGCCUCUUCAUUACUGUUUUAAGUAAACCAUUAAGAAUUUGCAUUCAUGGAAAAUCAGCAAGGUGGUUUAGAGACUUCGUUAAGGGACAAUUUUGUUUACUUGUAGUUGAAAUUAAAUUAUAGUUUUUUUUUUUGUUAUGAAAGAGAUAGCACUUUAUCAGCUUCAUUUAUUGGAAAAAUGAACUAGACUACAGGGGUGAGAUAGGUAGGGCCUCGAGGAAAAAAAAAAAAAAAAAAAUCAACUACUUUCUACAGUUAUAUAUUAUAGAUUACAUACAGUUGGGUUGCUACAGAUAGAGAGAGAGUGAGAGCAGCAUAACAAAUCACGCUUCCAGCGUGAAGAUGACACAUGCAAUGUGCAUGAUGCAUGCAUUAGCUUUUUCCUUUUUACAUAUAUUAUUACUAUUUUAAGUUAAAUAAAGGAGAAGAUUUUUUUAGGAAAAAUGUAUGAGACCCCCCCUCAACUAUAGAUCUUUGGCUAAAAAUCAACUACUUUUUUUCGAUUGAGAUCAACUCAAUUUCUUUUUUUUUUUUUAAAAAUUUUGAUUUUUUAUAUUUAACUAAGUUGAAAUUUUUAUGAAAUAUAAUAACUCUAUUAGUUAUUAGCCAUAUAAUUAAGCUACCAACCGUUUUUAGUUCAGAAUGGAGAGAGCUUGAUGGUAUCUUUCUCCGAAAGAAAAAUCUAUAUAAUUAAACUAAUUUUAUAUACUAAAAAAUUAUGAGUAUUAAUAUUUAUAAAAUUAUUAAUAAUUUUAAUAAAAUUUUUAAAUAUUUUGGCAAAAAAUUAUUUAGUUUGAAAUAAUUUAGAAAUUGAGGGGUCGUAGUUAAAAAUAAAAGGUAAAAAUCUAUAGAACUUAUACGGACUAUAUAGGCUAUUUUGAUUUGACUAUUUAAUUUUAUAAAAUUUUAAUUUUACUAUCCAACUUUUCAAUUUGUUUAAUUUAAACUAGUAAAUGACAUUUUAACUUUAAAAUUUAAAUGUGCUGUUUAUUUUUAUAAAUUUAGUUAUUAUAUUUUUAUAUAGUUCUCGAAACUAUAAAUUAAUUAAAAUAACUAAUUUAUUUAAAAUUUAAAAUUAAAAUAUUAUUAAAUAAUUUAAAUUAAAUAAAUUUAAAAAUUAGAUAGUAAAAUUAUUUUUUUAAAAUUAGAUAGCUGAUUCACAGUAAUCUAUAGUUUAUAUAAAUUUUGUGUUUUUUUAUCCACAAAAAAAAAAAGAAAGAAAAGAAAAAGUUGAGUGAGCUGUUUCAGAAUAGUUUACAGUUGAGGGGUUUCUGUACAAAUGUACCAAAACUUUUUUCCUUAACAAGUAUAGAGAGUAAUAAUAAGAGAGAGAUUGAGACAUGGGACCCACCACCAUACCCCCUCCCACCGACAAAUAAUAAUAACGCUCUCCAAACCCCGACUCCUCCUCGUCUCUCUCUCUCUCUCUCUCCCCCCUCCUCCUCUUUGGUAAAACCCUCUCUUUUACCCCAAUCUCGCAGCAAAUCAAAUGCUCCCCACUCCUCUCGAUCCCUAGGGUUUAGGGUUUCCACCUCGCCACCUCUUCUCCCCCUUCCCCAAAGUCGAUCCGAAGCCAUGGCGUCGUCGUCCUCGCCGCCGCCGUCGUUGUCGUCGUCGUCGUCGUCGUCGUCGGGGUUCUUCGCGAUAUGCGUGCUGCACGCGGCGGUGGCGGCGGCGUGCGGGGCGCUGAUGAUGUUCUACGUGGACGAGGCGGCGGCGUUCGGGCACGGGCGCGAGGCGGCGCGGCGGCUCCGGGGCUCGACGCCGCGCGACCGGCUCCUGAUCGAGACCUCCGACUCGUUCGCGGGGCUCCUCCUCUUCGCCAUCGGGCUCCUCCUCUUCAUGGUCGCCUUCGUCCGCGACCGCGAGUUCCAGGCCUUCUUCGCCAAGGGCUGCGUCCUCCUCCACGCCGCCGUCGCCCUCUGGCGCCUCCUCUUCGAGCGCCGCCUCGACGACCUCGCCCGCGACCUCCCCCGCCAGCUCGUCGGCGACCUCGUCCUCGGCCUCUCAUGGAUCCUCUUCCUCAUCUACUCCUGGCGCGAGAAGUACGACUGAUCCCCUAAUUCUCUCCCCCACCCCCAUCACCCCGUCGCGGCCACCGCCGCCGCCGUAGGUAUGAUCCUACUUGUAAAGCUUUCUCCCUUUCUUUUUUCCUUUUUUUUUUUUUACCCGUCAAUUAUCGCCCGUAAAAGUUAAGGAGAAUGAGGUUUAUGAGCUCCUGAUGCUGUAUCUUUCACCCAAAAAAAAAAAAAGAAAAAAGAGAGCUUUUUUUAAUAUCAAAUGGUAGUUGGAUGGUUUGUUUUAUUUUAUUGAGUACUCUUGAUUAAUUGGUGGAGUUUUGGUUUGGGAAAAGUGCGUCUGAUGAUAUGUAAGUAUGUGAAUUAAGUGCUAUAGCGAAAUUUUAUGAUGUAUUAUCAUCUCCCAUAAGCCAAUUGGCAACUGAUUAUGCGUGUACUUGUAGGAGUUGAAUUACUUGGCAAAUUGAUUCGAUUUUAAUGUUAUUUUGAUUGCGGAGGAUCAUUUUCUUCUGCAUUUUGUUGUCUCCGACAGAAACUGACGGAAAUUGAUGAAUUUUUUAAGUAAUCCUUUUCUCGUUUUUAGAUGUGAAAACUCAAUUUUGAUGGUUACUGAUCUUUCUAGAAAAUCGCUUUAGAAGCUACCAGUUGGUAUACAUGGAUAUCAGAACAAAAAGAAACUUCAUGUAUGCACUGUGAACAGUUAAUACAUCUCUGUUGUAAUUUGUAGCCUGAUCAACCAAUCAAUAAGGAUAUUUGCUAGUUUGAAACUUUCCAUAGUGCCUGUAACAGUUCUACUGACAUUUAACAACUAAACGACAAGUAAAACUUAUGAAUUACAAGAACCUCUUGACCAGGAAUCUGGAUUUUGCAGUUCCAACGCAAACUCCUUAUGCUGAUACAACAUUUUGCCCUGUUUUUUUAGAAACAUGUAACAGUGAAAUUCGUUUCUCUUUUUGGAGGGUCUAUUGUUUAAUAAGCAAUUAGUUUGUGUAAAAGAGUUCUCUCUUCUAAGAUACAAGAGACCAAACAAUUGAUAUUUUGCAACUCCCAUAGCAAGAGAAUCUGUGUAUCUGUUAUCUAGAUGGAUUAUAAAGUACUCAUCUUUACGUACGUAUGCCCUUUUCACUAUAUCCUGUGCCUUUUAAAAGUGAAAUCUACUCUUCAUAGUUGAUAUCGGUCUUCUGCACAUUUUCUCUUUCUAGAAAUAGCAGCAUGACAGCUAGCAUUGUGCUUUGGCAAGUUAACAACACUUGCGGCAGUUUCUCUGAGAUUCGUUGAUUUUCCUCGUGCUGUUGGUUGUGUGAUAACUCAAGGUUAAGAAAAGCAUCGAAAAGUGAUAGUCUUUAAUGACUGAUUCUCUAUCUGAUGUGAGCAUACUAUCAAUUGCUCCCUAGAUCCUGGGCUAAGGCUUGUGUUGGAGCCAUUGAAGUAUAGAUGAGACAAUCAGAAUGCUUUUAAAACCCGAGGAUUGAUGUUUUGCCAUGGCUUCAAGCUUUCUAGUGUUUGUUGAAAUCUCUUUCAUUUCUAUGUACUUCUAGAUACUCACAUUGAUAUCAUGUAUUUAAGACUGAUUUACAUUAAAAUUUUAAUAAUGAAACUUGUAGAGCCAUUAUUGAAAGUUAUGGAUUGUUUUAUUAGAAAUACAUUGUUUUAGCAUUCUUUGGCUAUACCUAAAAAGGAAGAUUUAGAUUGCAAUGGAGUUUUCCUUACCAUACAUGACGAAAUUAUUGAAAUGUCACAAUUUUAUUAUGUGUACUUUUUUCACUGUGUCCUCUCUUCUCCAUCUCUAAUUCCUUUCUCUUUCGACUUCUACGUGCAUUAGAGAGAUUAUUUCUUUUCUUUCAAAUCUCAUAUGAGUUUCUGGUCGGUCCAAAAUAACUUGUCAAUCUUCUGUUGCGCCUACAUGCAAAAUCUCAUAUUGAGCAUGGCUUCCAAUUGUUUUGUUAAUUUUAUUUUUCCUACGAAAGCAGAAGCAUGGUUAUCAAAUACCUUUAACUAAUAUCAGUUGCUUGUUGUCAGUAUUCUUUCUGUAUAUACUGUUUGGGAGAACUUUUAAUACCCCUUGAGUUAUAGCUUUAUUUCAUUAUAAUGCACCGUGUUUCAGAUUGUAGCACUCUAAUAUGGGGUCUAUGGAGUUUUUCCUCUCAUCUUUUUGUCUAAGAUAUGGUUUUCAGAGAAUGGAAUGAUUUACCUUGCGAAUUAUUAGUGAAAUACUAGAUCUGAAAGAGUAGCAUUAGCAAUCAACAUUAUAAUGUUGAAAUUUGUUUGUCGAUGCAUUGUGAACUUCAGCUUUUAUUUGUCAGUUGUUUCAAUUAGCAUGCGAUUAUCUAUAGCUAGACUAGCAAAAUAUUACCAGAGGAAAAAUGCGUUCUAACGAUAUCUGCGGUAUACUUUCGUCAUAAUUUUACACAUGUUCUGUUCUUCGAUUUCAUUAGUGUUUGCUGUACAUUUGAGCAUCAGAGUCCCCACUGUCUUUUGUGAUUGUUUAAGUUAAAUCCUUUCCCUAAUCUUGAAGUCAUUCUGCUUUUCUCGUCUAGUUAACGAAUAAUUAAAAGUUGAACUUCGUUCGGAAAUAUUAAUAUUUCUACGCAUGUUCGUAAUGUGUACGUUCACAGAACUGUUACAUGGAUUUUAAGAAUAAUUUGUCGGUAAGAGUAUCCUUUUUUGGAUGGAGGUAAAAUUAACACAUGUCAGUGGAUCGAAGGCUCUCUAAUAAGGUGUCUUUUGGGAGCUUCUUUCUAUAGUUUUAUCCCUUUCAUAUAUAACUGUUACUCUGCUGUUCUUUUUUCAAAAUUAGUUAUGACCUGCAUUCACCCAGGCAAAGUCACAUUGGCAGUUUUUUUUUUUUUUUUUUUUUUUUUUUUUUUUUUUUUUUUUUGUGUGUGUCCAUGCAUAAUAAUGCAUCUUGUGGGGCUCCUUUUCUCGAGGAAUUCUACACUGUCAUAUUUGCACCACGUCAUCAAUAGUAAAUUAAUUAUAUAUUUUUUUUCAAACAAAAGUAUAAUAAAAAUAUUUUUUUAUAAUUAUGAUGGAACAUAUACUUUUAAAAAAAGAUAAUUUAUUGAUUUUGUUACGCUACGUUUAUCAAUAUAACCAUUGUAUUCUAAAAUUUUUUUCUUUUCUCGUACCAAAAGCUGAGUAGGAUAGUAAACAAUGUGCUGGACAUGUGAUGGAGACGUGCUCGAAUAGUGUCCUGUGUCCUGUGUCCUGUAGGAAAGCCACGUGGCAUCAACAUUCGAUGGUACGUGUCUGUUUGGAUACCUUAUAAUAAUUUUCAUUUUGUUACGGAGAAAUAAUUGUAUAAUACUACGGUAUAUGUUUGGUAAUCUAAGGUUUGAGCUCUUUUUCUAACCACAAAUUUACAGGAUUUUUGAGAUAUUUUUGUUGUUUUUUAUAUGCAUCUAACUAUCUGUUUGUAAGUAUAUAAACACUGUUUUUGAUAAUACCUAAAAAUAUUUUUAAUACAACAAAAUUAGAGUGUAUCUUAGCAGGCCAGCUACUUAAACUGCGAAUUCUCGAGCAAUAUUAUUUCAUAAAUCUGCAAAGAUUCUCUAUUUUUUCGUAUUUUUUAAAUUUCUGCAGUAAAUAGUAUAGGAGUAGGGAACCAUCAUACUUUUUUCCAAAGGGAAAAAAAAAUAAAAUAAAAAUAAAGGGACUCAGUUUAAUCGACGGUUCUGCAGAAGAGGCCGUUUCGAAAAAUAUUAUUUGCAGGUGCUGAAACAUACUCUGCAACUGGGUUUCCAUACUUGAACCUUUUUAUAAAACGAUUAAUUCAUUCUAUUUAAGCCGGAUUAGAGAGAGAAAUUUUACAAUAAAAUUUAACCGGGGUUAGAUAUUUUUAGCAACUAGAGAUUGGGCGCGCCGUCUAUGAAAGUUCUAAUUCCCCAGGUUGGUAAAUAGGAGAGCAAAUUACAUCAUUAUUAACCAAAAUUUUCACCAGACCUCGAUAGAUUUUUGCACUCCAAUUUUCUAGAAUUGGGUAGAGCUCAAUCUUCAUUUUUUAUACUUAGAUUAUAUAUGAUUCUUUCUAAUGUAGAAAUUACAUGACGGUUGAUUUAGCUGUCGCAUCAUCUUUCAGAGAUAUAGCUACUAGUCAAAUUAAUUCAUGCUCACCGCUAAGUUAUUGACUGAAUUAGCUUAUUUCCCACAGAUUAUCAUAUAAUCUGUAAUAAAAAAUUUAACAAUACCGACUGUUCCUAGAGCAAGUGGCAAAGGGCUUGGUGGUUGGUACUCGAGACCCAAGUUCGAGUUCCAGUUGAAUCACAUUUCCAAUUAAGUUUAUUUCUAAAUGAAAUAAACGAAGCGGGUAGCGUGCUAUCUAUUUCUCAAAAAAAAAAAAAAAAUUUAACAAUUGAAUCAAUUACCGCUACAUUUCUCUAUUACUCGAAAAGAAAAAUAUUUUGCUUACAAAUGAAUUUCACAAUAAUUCACAAAUUCUACAGCUUAAUAGAUGGAUUUCAAUUUUGGUAUUAAAAAUCAUGCUUGCCUCCACGUAAUUUAUACUUUACCACUAAUUAAACAUCGCAACUUAUGCUAAUUUGUAAGGUAUUGUAUUUUUUUUUUUUUUUUGUAAAUAUAUCAAUACUCAAUAGAAAAAUUAAGGGAUCAGGCAAAGUAGCUCGAUUAAUAUUUAAAAAAAUGGGCCUGGUGAUUCUUAUUGUAACAAAUUAAACUCCAGCAACAUCAAUACCUACCUAUACAUUAUAUCUCUUGGUGUUUGCCAGGUGGCAAUUUCUCCUUCACCCCUCAUUUUCACUCCAAAAUUUUUACUCUCUAAUCAUUGCUUUUAUGUAACGUCGCUUCCAUGUAACGUCUGCCUCUUCGGCUUUCCAUCUCAUUAAUUCAUUUCCUGUAAUGUCUGCCUCUUCGGUUUUCUGUCUUAUUAAUUCAUUUUCCGUAACGUAUGUCUCUUCGGCUUCCCAUCUCAUUAAUUUCUUUUCUAUAACGUCACUGCUUCGACUUUCCCCUCAUUAGUUUCUAUUUUCUAAGAGGCGUUGCCCGAGAAGCCCGUGGGCACGGCAUAUGACGUCCUCGACAACGACCUCGCCUACUGCAUCCGCUCUAAUCUCAAGCCCCACCGGCGUGCCGCCCUCGCUCUUGCCGUCAAUGUCGAGUGAGUCAAAUUCUAACCCUAGCCUCGAACCUUCCUCCCUCGAUCUCGACCACUUAAAUUUGUAAUGUAUAGUUAUAGUGUGUAUCUCUCUCCUCUAAUGGUCUCGGAGGACGCAAAGUAUCGGCUAAGAUAUAGACUUGCCGAAAAGUGGUUGAAGGCGCUGUGAUACUUUACGAAAUUGUCGGUGUUAGCAGAGAAUGCCCUAAAGGAGGAUACAAAGGGAUCCGAUUUCUAUAUAACAAAUUUUUUUCUCCUAUAAUUUUUUUUUUAUCCUUCGUUGUUUUUCAUUGAAUUAUAAUUUUAUUCUAAAAAUUUUAAAGUAUUUUUUAUAUUAUUAAAUUUAAUCAAAUAUAAUUAUAUCCGUCGCAUCGCGCGGGUUCCUACACUAGUGAGAAAAAAUGUUGGAAUAAUAUUGGUGAUCAUCACCCAACUGGUAAUCUAGUGACCGAGUACAAGCCUAUGAAUGCCCUCAAAUAGAAGUCUCCAUUUUUAUUUUAAUCUAAAUUAUACUAUCACAUCACUUCUACAUUAUUAACAUAAAAAUAUUAAAUAAAAUAAAUUAUUAUUAUAAAAUAUAAUUAUAAUACUUUAUAAAAUUUUCGCCAACAAUUUUCAUAAAUUAAAAUUUAAGGACCAAAAAUGUAACAUACAAAUCAAAGUAUCCCGCACUCUUAUUGAGGAGUUCUUAAUUCACUACCACGCACUAGUUUUGCUUCUAUCCAAAAAUUAUAAUCCUCCUCUCAAAUUUUUUUUUUUUAAAAUUCUAAUAUUAUAAAAUAUCUAACAAAUUUUUAAAAAAAAAUAAAAUUGACACGUGACAGUCAAUAGAGGGCUCCUAACCCGUAGGGAUGCAAAUGGUUCCAGGUUACUGGAGUUCCCCGUUUUGAAUGAGGCGGUAGGUGGGAACAAAAAAUGUAAAAAUAAUAAUCCGCUCCCAAUCCGCAUUGAUCCGCCAAAUAAAUGGAGCGAGAGACGGGAUACAUUUUUCUUCCUUUAAUCCGUUCCGAUCCGUAAAAAAUCAGCCAAAAAUUCACCCCGGUCCGAUUUAUCCCUAAUGAGACGAUAAAUGGGAACCAAAAAUAAAAUAAAAAAUAACCCGUCUCAAAUUCGUCCCGCACCAACAAGAAAUGAAGAGGAAGCUGGGAAACCUUCUGGCCUCCGGAUCUGUCCCGUUUGCAUCCCUACUAACCAGGCUUUGUCAAGGGAGCUCUCGACGAAAGUUUUAUAAAUUAUAAAAACUUAAUAAAAAGUUUUAAAAAUAUUAAUGAUUUUGUAAAAAUUAUCAUUUAAAAAAAAAAAAAUUGAAGGCUUUCAUUUCAAAAUUACCUGCAGAGCAGUCUUCUUUCCGCUGCGCCGGACCCGAAAACCCUAAAACAAGAAAAGUCGGCAGGAGUUGAGUGCAGAAAGUGCUGCGAUUGGGAGGGAAAAAGAAGGAAGAAAGAAAGAAAGAGAGAGGAAGAGAGAGGAUGCUGCAGUUUCCGGCGUUCAUGCGGCAGUUCCCGUCGCCGCCGCUGAUCCCUUCGUCCACCCUCCUCCCUGUCUGGACCGUCGCUCAAGACGACGAGCUCCUCCUCGCCAUGGCCGAGUCCGAUCUCGAAGAGAAGGUAGAAUAAAUAUUCUUAUCUUUACAAUCCCUCCGUCCCCUUCUUGCUUGUCGCAACUCUUGCGAUCUAAAUCUCAGAUUACCUCGUCGUGAAUUCCUGCUUGUUUUGGAGCAGGAUUGUUGAGUCUAAAUAUUUUAAAAAAAAUGCACCGCUUUCUGACUGACUGACUGACUGACAGCGUAAGAAUUAUUCGACAUGGUGUCAGAGCAGAGCUUUCGAUUGUAAAUCCCAUUAGUGUUUCCGGACAUGAUAGGGUCGUUGAAUAUAAAUAGUAAAAAUACUGUUUGCUGACAACUUAAGCUUUUAGAGUUCGUUUGAGGGAGAGGUUACUAAUGAUGCCUAUAAUGAGAAUGCCUCGUAACUCAUGAUAAUCUAGUAUUUCUAGAUAUCUCUAGUCAUUUGUAAUAAUUUCGCUACUUUAUUAACGCUUUUUAUAACUAUCCAACUUCAGUUGAUUGUUUAAUUGAUUUUAAUUUUUGCGAUAGCAAAUAUGGAGGAUUACCGGAAUAUUAGAAACCAUGAACCAAACGACCGCUUCGAGGAUGAAACUGGAUGCUUGAAGCGAUUUGUGAUUUAGUUUGAAGGCGAUUAAUAUAACCAUGGAAGAUUUAAUUCGUAGAGAGAUUUAACCUGUGAUUUUUGGUGGUUCAGCCUCCUCUGCUGUGUAUAAUAACGGAGGUUAAUCCUUUACAACCGAUCACCAGGCGAUUAAUAAAUAUGCCGUCCUUCCAUCUCCAUCUCAUGUGCAUCUUGCAGUCUUCUCGCCUUUCCUCAUGCAAUCCAUCUUCUUCAAAUCAUGAGGCUUUCAAUUCAAUUUACGUGCAUCUCAGCAUGAAAAGUAGCGGGAUAGUUUUGGUUCUUUCUAGAAGAGAUUUCCUAUCAUGGAAGUAUCGUGAACAGACUGCCUAUUUAAAAUAAUUUCUCUGGAUAGAGAUCUACUACUGUAAUCCGAAAUAUGCCGCGUGUAAAAGAAGUCGAUGAUGUGGAUUCAAUCCAUGGGUUAAUAAUUAUUGUCACAAUUAUAAAACCAGCCCCUAAUAUCUAUGAUGUUUUCAACAGAUUUGCCAGCACAAAUGGCUUUUUAUGACUACGUUUAGUAGGUGACGGCUCUGUCCAUAUUGAGUUAUGCAACUGAACGUGAUUUAACUAAAAUUGAGGGAUCUCUCGUCGCCCCGCGAAUGUACUUUGAUAUGUAAUUACUUGUCGCCAUGAAAGCAAUGUAAUGUUCUUCCUAUACAAGUGGCCUCCCAUUUUUGUCUCAAAUACGUACUGCAAUCAUCGUAGUAGUUAGUACUGCCUUAUAUCACCGACUAGUCAAGCAACUAACAGAUUAAGCAUAUUUAGGUUUAGCAUAAGCAUAUUUAAGUGUAAAAGGACACUCAUUCGGAGGCCUAGGAGUUAGUGGGGAGAAGCAUUGAGGGUGUCGUCUUGGUUCCUCUGUUGAUCUUAGGGCUUAAUUCAGCUAUUAUAUUGCUUCGAUGCUAUAAUUUCUUAGAUAAUAUCAGGUAGAAGGUGGUUUGUUUUUCUGAGACAGAAAAGAAGAUGAGAAAGCUGGUUGCUUUCUUUACUCCUACUUCUCCUCUGUAGCAGACACUGACAGUGAGCUUGUCCGCAGGAUUGGAUGACUCGAUGGGAAGCUCGUGUGUUGUACAUGUUUUUCCUUCCUUUAUUUCAACCUUUAAACUUUUUGCUUUGAAGUUGCGUGGUUUAUAACAUCGCACAGAAUCCAGUGAAAACAUCUAAAUAGCCCUGUUCGUUGAUGCAUAUGUGUGGCACAUUACUUGCUCUAUAAACUUGAUGUUUUCGAGAGGAACUUGUUCGUCGUGCGGCAUUAAUUCUUUUCUUCUUUAAGCCGGUGGUUCACAAGAACCUCCAAGGAGAGAUGAGUUCUGUUGCGAAAGUGGAAUGUUUAUUUUAUUUUACUUUACUUUCUUCACUAUUGUCUUUAUUCCAAGCUAAUUUGUCUCACCUUCUUCCCGGCAUUUAUCAAUCGGAUCGUGUUUGAUGCCUGAUCUGCAGUUGAAUGAAAUCAGAAAGACCAACAGCAACUUGGUCGUGAUUGGUAAAACGGCCGUCGACUACAAGGAAGAGAUAGAUGCCGAAGCGGAAGAUGACGAUGGAGAUAAUGUGGAGGAAUCUGAGGGCGACGAGUUCGAGCAGGAGACCGGUUAAUAUAACCGCACUGUGUAAAUAAAUACAAUUUAUUCUGACAACUUAUCGAAGUUUCCUCUUCGUGCAUUUUCUUUUUCUCGAAAGAACUGCCAUUUGCUUUCUCAAACUUUGGUUGGAUAUGUUGAGUCAAAACUAGAUAAGUGAAAAUCUUAUAUCUGUGUUGUACACUGGAGUGGCCAAUCAAGAUUCAAACCUAAAUAUGCUUAUGCUGAAUUAUUUAUACUUAUGUUUUUCUCAUAGAAUCUCAAUUGGGGCCUGGGAAUUUUGGACCAGGAUCUAAGAUUUGAGAAGGGCACUUUGAGAGAUACUGGAGAGAAGAUCUAUGCAUCUUGAGAGGCAUUUUCACAUGCUCGUUGCUCUGUUUGAUUGGCAAUGUCCUAAUAUAAAAAUGAGUGUUGCUACAUAUGUCCCAAAAAAAAAACCUUACAAUACUGUUGAUGACGUGAUAUUGUUAUUAUUAUAUUCUAAAUAUUAAUUAUUAUAUAUUAAAUAUUAUUAUUAAAUCUUAAGUAUUGUUAUGUGUUAGCCAAUAUAUCAACAAUAUAAUGGGCUGUCCAAAGCAUGCAUAUAUAUAUAUAUAUAUAUAUAUAUAUAUAUAUAUAUAUAUAUAUAUAUAUAUAUAUAUAUAUAUAUAUAUAUAUAUAUAUAUAUAUAAGAGAGAGAGNCUCUCUCUCUAUAUAUAUAUAUAUAUAUAUAUAGAGUUGAGCUAGAAUACUAUCGGUAGUAAACGAGCCGUUUUACUACCGAUUUAUUUUCGAUGAUAGAACUUUCAAAUUGACGAUCGGCUCCGUUGAGCAUGAUCUAUACCACUUGAAGUAUUUAGAAAUCAAAUUUCAAAUCUUUUCGACAACAUUUGCCUAAUGAUCAAAGGGUUUCAAAAUUUGUAAUUUUAAUAGUCAAUAAUAGGCGUUUUCUCGUUUAACAGCGUAAAGAUAUUUAAAUCAAUUGAAUUUUUGUUAAAAAAUUUUUUAAACUAUUUAAAACAAGAUCUAUACUCUUGAUCUUGAUUACAAGACUCCUAUCAUCAUUUUUUAAAGAGUAUUCAUUUUUAGCCAUUUAUUUUUCUGUUCACUUGAUGGAUAAAAGAACAAUAUCGAAAGUGCGCGAAAUUUGAUAUCUAGAUAGUUUAAAUGGUUUAGAUCAUAUUUAACGGAGCCGAUCGUCAAUUUGGAAAGUCUACAUCGAAAUAAAUCAGUAGUAAAACGAUUCGUUUUACUACGAUAGUUUCUACCUCAACUCUCUCUCCUCUCUCUCUCUCUCUCUCUCACUCUCUCUCUCUAUAUAUAUAUAUAUAUAUAUUAUAUAUAUAUAUAUUUUUGCUAGAAUACUAUCGGUAGUAAACAGCUGAUUUACUACCGAUUUGUUUUUAAUGAUAGAGCUUCAAAAUUGAUGAUUGACACCGUUAAACAUGAUCUAAACUAUUUAAACUAUCUGGAAAUCAAAUUUCACACAUUUUUUGAUAUUGUUCUCUUGUCCAUCAAGUGACAGAAAUAAUAAUGGCUGGAAAUGAAAUCCUUCAAAAAAGUGUGAUGAUACAUUUUUAUAUUUGAGAUCUAGAGUCUGAUCUUAUUUUAAAUAGUUUAAAGAAUUUUUUAACAAAAAUUUAGUUGAUUGAACUCUUCUAUACCGUUAAACAAACAAACGCACCAUAUCGGCCAUUAAAAUAAUAGCUUUUGUGACCCUUUGAUCAAUUCAGUUAGUGAUGCAAAAAAUCAUAAAAUUUGAUUUCUAGAUAUUUAAAUUAGUAGAUCAUGUUCAACGGUGCGAUCAUCGAUUUGGAGCUCUAUCAUCAAAAACAAAUCGGUAGUAAACCGAGCAGUUACUACCAAUAGUAGCCCAGUCAAACUCUCUCUGCUUCUCUCUCUCUCUCUCUCUCUCUCUCUCUCUCUUCUCUCUCUCUCUCUUCUUCUCUCUAUUUAUAUAUAUAUAUAUUAUAUAUAUAUAUAUUAUAAUAUAUGUAGCCAGGACAUGCUGUGCUCUCAGGAGCACGGAGGCCUCCGUGCUCCUGAGCCGUUUUCGAUGAUGGAAUUUUCGAAUCGACGAUCGGCUCCGUUAGACUUGAUCUAAGGUAUUUGAAGUUUCUAGAAAAUAAUUUUUGCGAUUUUUUGAUAUCAUUUACCUAGUGAUCGAAAGGAUUCAAAAUCAAUAAUUUUUAAUGGUUGAUAUCUACCAUUUUCAAGUUUAACGGUGUAGAAGUAUUCAAAUCGGAAGCACCAACUACUUUAUGCUUCCGAUAGCAUAGUAGCUCUACACUAUAUAUAUAUAUAUAUAUAUAUAAUUGAGCUAGAAUACUUUUAGAAGUAUCAUCCCUUUUUUACUUCUAGAUUUCUAGUUUUUUUUUUUACUUUUAAGUUUCUAGCCCUUAGGUCUACUCCUUAAUUACUAAUAGCCCUUGGAUCAAAUACUAUUCCACCUAUCACCAUCUACCACCAUUAUCCCAACUUUACAUUUCUCCAUCCAAGAGUUAAAAAUACAAAAGCACCAACCUCUUGGUGCUUUUGAGAGUAUUCUAGCUCAACUCUCUCUCUCUCUCUCUGUAUAUAUAUAUAUAUUAUAAAAUUGGUUGUCGACCUACUCCAAGACCUAAUCAGUUUUUUAUUAAGAUUGGCUCCAAUGUUUCGGCAUGUAAUUGGGUUGAACUCUCUAGCCACAGCAAUUUAACAAUAGCUUGAGACCAAAGAUUCUCUCUUCUCCCUUUUUUUUUUUUUUUUUUUUUUUUUUUUUUUUUUCUCUAUUAGAAGAAGGACAGUUCUUCUCUUUAAGCCAUUUUGUUUCAUCAAAAGUGAAAAAGAGCGAAAGAAUUUUGAGGGUAAAUAUUCACACUUUUGAUAUUUAAUUCGCCACAAAUUAAAUUGACUUUGCUGUGACCAGUGGCACACCAUUUACGAAAAAAUAAAAUAUUAAAAAGAUAAAACAAAUUAGUUGCUAUAAUUUUUUUAAUUUUGUGUUAAUGUGACAACUUUCAGUAAAACAAACCAAAAAAAGAUAGAACUUCAAUUUCCGAAUUACACACUUUUCAUCAAAUGAACAGCGAUGGAAAGAUAAUUUUUACCUGAAAUUUAAUUCAACUAAAAGUUUUCUUUAAUUUGAAAAACAAAGGAAUAUGCCCCAAAAAGCAGAUGCUCUGUCCUACAUGUUUAAUCAUGGUGGAUCAUCCAGGCCUACACGCCAGCUAGUAGUUGAACCAGCACCGGAAUCCAAUGUUCCGUCACAGGCCCACAUCAUCGUGCGAUUACCGAUUAGAGCCUUCUCAUUUUCUUUCCUUUUACUUUUCUCGUCCCUUCUUUCCCCCCCUAAUUAAUUGCCAUUAUACUCGCUAUAGGAGGCCUAACCUUCCCAUAAAACUUCAGUGGGAAACUCUUUUGUUAUUUUGGUGUUAAUCUGAGAAUUUUUCGAGUAUUCUUUAAUCUAAAAUUUCAAAAAUAAAAUUGACGCAUAACAGCCAAUCUAAUGCUAUUCAAUAAAAUGUUCUUUUAAAAAUUUCCCACUAAAAUUUUAUCCCCUUCCUCUCUCGUCAGGUCACCUGAAGGAAGACAAUUUGAUAAACCAUAUUAUUCAUUUAGGAACUGCUCCGCACCGGACUUUCACUAAGACAAUUUGAUAAACCAUAUUAUUCAUCCUGCUUCUGAAUUUUAAGAGUCUUUUUCAAACUAGAAGUUCUCAUGGGAAUCUUUAAUACUAUAUUAAGCUGCUAAUAUAAAGUAAGUCUAAUAAGAUUGAACAAGAAGCUCCUAGUACAAAUUUUUGGUUAGAAUUGCAAAAAUUUUUGUGUAGCUUUAUUAUAUAAAAUUGUUCUGUCACUAUCACUGCCACCACCGCAGUUAGCGCACUGCCACCACAGUGGUCGGCGCAACCGAAAAAAUCGCCUCACGUCUCUUGUAGGGCGCAAGAGCUGGGUUCAAUCUUUGGUUAUGGCUUUGGCCCACGUCGUUGUUGCCACAACCCUAUCGCAAGACCCCACUUGACGCAGCGACAAGGUUGUUAGGCGGUGUGCGCCAUCAAUAUAUAGAUGUUAUAUUUUACACACUUUUUUUUUCAAAAAAAAAAAAAAAAAAUAAAGAAGAAAAAAAAAAGAAUAUCGAAAAUUAAAUUUCUAAAUGAUUGUUUUUUGCCAUUUAAAAUAGUGUGAGUUCGAUAAAUUUGAGUGAAAAAUGUGUUUACAAAAUUAGCAGUAGUGCUAAGUAUGGAAAGGUCUCAUUUCCUCUUUUCCCGGUGGAGGAAAAAUUCAUCCAAACCGGGUAAAGAGUGAAAACUAAGUUAAAAAAGAAAAGAAGUAGAAAUAAAAUCAAAUGAAUUUUAUGAGUAAAUUAAUUGCUUUUAAAGAAUUUAGUGUAUUAAUAUAUUAAUUAAUGUUGUGGUUCAUUUUGGUUAUGUAAAUUAAUUUAAAUUUAUGAGUACGAUUUUUUAAUUGGUGUCCAAAACCACAAAGUCCCCGUUACCGCGUUCUCCUGGGUGAUUGUUCCCAUCGCCAUUAAUGAACCUGCGGAGCACAAAGGGAAACAAUGUUAGUGAAAACGAAAUCAGUACCCCAAAGGCCCAAAAAAAAAAAAAAGGAAAAAAAAAAGACAUUAAUGGCACGGAAUAUAACGCACCAACCGUACGAACGAAUAAAAACACACGACACACAUAACGGACGGAACGGGGCGAGGCAAACGGAAAAGAUAACGGAACCCUGACGGGAUGUCGAACGGAAACAAUGAACGGGGGAUAUGGUCCAACAAAAGAACACAAGGAAAGGCCACAACGAAGAGACGACGACGAGGAAGAAGUAGUAGUAAUCAAACUCUUUUUUUUUGCCAUUUUUUAUUAUUAUUUUUUGAAGCUUUUUUUUUUGGGUCCUUAAUAAUAUUUGUCCCCGUUGUAUUAAGAAAGAACACGUUACAAUCUCCCUCAGUGUUCAUUCGCAGCAAAAGCCUCCGAUCCCGUUUCGUGCUCCGUUCCGUUAUGGGUUUUCUCUGUUACCUCGAUUAUGAAGUUGUUUUUCCCGUUCGGCUCGAGAAGGGGGAGGAGGAGGUGGCGGUGGGCGGAGAUUCACUGCCAAUGGCUCCCGUGGUGGACGAGGAACUCGCCGCCGUGCCCGCCGACGGCGGUGGCGGCGCCAUGGCGGAGGUGGUGGCGAUGGUGGUGGUGGUGGUGGUGGUGGUGGUGGUAGCUCACGGGGUCGGGUGGAACCUCGGCGGAGCGGCGGCGGCGGCGGCGGCGGAUGGGUGGAGGAAGAAGCGGAGAUCGGCGGGGAGCGGGGCGCGCGAGGCGUGGGAGUGGAAGGAGGGGGAGAUGCUCCUCGCGGCGGCGGCGGAGCAGGAGGAGGCGGCGAUGGGGAAAGUGGAGGGGGGACUAGGGGUUUUGGUGGAGGGUUUCGGGGGCGGGGGCGGAGGGGGGAGGAGGAAGGCGCGGAUCUUGAGGGGGAGGAGGCGAUCGCGGGUCGCGAGGUCGUACUCCUCCACGAGGUUCGCGAGAUCCUCGUCGGAGGUGACGGAGACCAGCGCGUCGAGGUCCUCGGUCGGGAGCUGGCACCGCAGGUACACCUUCUCCCACCCACACAUCUCCUUCAUCUUCGCUUCUAGCUCUAUAUUCCAAAAUCCAAAAACCCACCAUCAAAUCCAAAUCCAAAACCAAACAAAACCCAAAUCAAAAUCGAAAUCAAAUCGAAAGGGGAGGGAUCGAUCGGGAACCUUGGAAGGGGAGAGAUCGGUGGACGGAGAGGACACGGGUGUCGCCGCCGACGUAGCGGAGCUUUCCGUCGGGGUAACGGGGGAGGAUGCGGCCGCCAUAGCUGCAGAGGAACUUGAUCGUCCCCGUCGCCGCGGCUGCGGAGGAGGUCUUGGCGGUGGCGGCGGCGGAGAUGUCGUCGAAGGAGCCGAACGAGGCGCACGAGGAGGACGACGACGACGAGGUCCCCACCAUGGCUUCGAAACCCUAGCAGCAGUAGUUAGAAGAAGAAGAGGAAGAAGCGUAGCGGUUUAGAAGGGGAAAGAAGAAGCUCGAAGCUUCUCGAAUGAGGAAGGAGAAGAGGGAGGAGGAGUAGCUCCGGAGGGGGCUUCAAGCCUCAUCUUGGGAACCUACACCCCUUAUUUAUACUAUGAGGGGAGGGAAGGAGAAGGGAAAGUGAGCUUCGUUAACUUCAUUAUUACAAGUUAAUUUUGAUGCUAAAUAAUAAAUAAAUAGUAUAUAAAUGCUAUUCCUCUUAAGAAAAUAAAAAAAUAUAUACAUAUAUAUAUAUUCUACUUAAUUUAAGAAAAGGCCAAAGGUUACUGAAGCUGCAUUUGGUUCGGGUAUAAAUAAGAACUGUUAGUUCUAGACAUAGGUACAAGUUCAGAUUACUUAAAUAUAAAUAAGAACUGCGUUUUGGUUCGGGUAUAAAUAAGAACUGUUAGUUCUAGACAUAGGUACAAGUUCAGGUUAUUUAAAUAUAAGUAAGAACUGCAUUUUGUAGUAUUCAAGUUACUUAAAUUAAAAAUUAUUUUACUCAUUAAAAAUGAUAAUUAAAUCACUAUAAUUUUGUAGACUAGCUAGUAAAUUUAAUGACAAAUUUUCUAAUUUAAUCGACUCAAAUUAAUCAGUUAAAAAAAAUUAAGAAGCUAAAAACAAUAUAAAUCAGCAAAAUUAAACAAAUAUUAUACUUUAAAUUGCGAUCAUAAAUAUAAUAACUUUUCAACCGUCAAUAUGAAUAGCAUUACAGAUGACUAUUAAAAAGUUGUCUUAAUUUUUAAAAUUUUCUUUCGUGAUAAAUAGCCUUAUUAGAAGUAUAUGACUAUAAUAAAAUGAUGAUUUCUUUUAUUUUAAGCUUUCACAUUGUGAUUCUAACUUGCACACUGGUUCAUUGAAUUUGGAAUUUAUUCACUUUAGUUUGGGACCAAAAAAAAUAUUCUUAGGACAUUCCUAGAAGAAACAUCCCACAAAUUUCUAAAUUUCAAAAACAGUUGUAAGUCUCCUAUUGGACCCCCUCCCUCUCCCCCUCUUGUUCUUUCGCUAUUUGACGCGGACCUAAUAAAUAAAUAUAAGUUGCUAUUUCAAUGAUUUAAUGCUAAUUUAUAUUACUUACUUCGGUAACUUAUAAUAAUCACGAAUAUUAAAGUGCUGAGAAAAAAAAAAGAAAAGAAAAGAAAAGAAAUAAGCUAUAUAGGUUAAAUAAUCCAAAAUACUUAGGCAGAGCUAAAAUAAAAUUUUUUAUCCUAGUUUUAAGAUUUCAAAACUAAGCCCUAAUUAUUAGAAAUUUAUUCUAUAACCAAAAACUCAUAAAAAUUAUUAAAAAUUUUAAAUGAAAUGAAAAAAUAAUAAUAAUUUUAAAAAUGAAAAUUAAAUUUAACUAAUCUUUCUGACCUCAUCAUUGGAAUACUUGUCGCACCACUCUUUUGACUCUUUGAUACUUUUCUUCUUUCCUGUGCAAACCUCAUUACACCUUUUUCAUUUUGAGUUCAAACAUACUAUAUUUUCUCUUAUUUGCUAUCUAUUAUUUUAUUAAUAUAAGUCCUAUUAGGUAGGAGUGAUAAUUUGGCUCGCUGUUCGUGAGUCAACUCGUGUUCGGCUCGAAAUGCGCUUGAGAUUGAACCGCUCGUUUAGUAAACGAGCAAAAUACGAGCUGAAUUUUUCAACUCGUUUAAUAAACGACCCGAACACAAACUAGAAUCAGGUCGUUCGUAUUCGGCUCGAUUACAGCUCGAAUAUAUAUUUAUAUAUAAAUAAAUAAUUAUAUAUAUCAUGUAGAUUUUUAUUAUUUGAUUUUUAGCCAUCCUAAAUAUAAAACCAACUCAAUUAUAAAAAAAUUUAUUUAUGUGUAAAGUUUCAACCAUUAGAUCAAAGUCUAAUAGGUAAGAUCUCCAAAAUUUAUAUUCUAUAUAUAUGUCCUUUCGAGUUCGGCUACUAUACUCAUAGGAUCUUUUUAUAUUCAUAAAUUUUUGACCGUUAGAUCUACUUCGACCAUUUUUAUUCGUUAGAUCAUACUAUUCAAGCAAUCAGCUACACAAUCCUAGGAGACCACUAUCAUCUCAAUCGAUGAUUACUAUCAUCCUAACCAUACAUUUCUUCAUCCAACGAUCGAAAAUUUAUGAGUACAAAGGAUUCUAUAAUCAUAAAAGUAUAAUAACUCUAGCCUAUCCUUUCUGAUAUUUUAACUUGUUGUUUAUGAGCCAACCCGUGUUUGGCUCGUUAAUAAAAUUUUUGGAUCGAUACUUUAAUGAGGCAGCUCGAGAUCGACUCUUUUAUGAAACAAGCCAAACAUGAGGCGCCCAGCUCGUUUCUGUUGGAUGGUUGACACCCCUACUAUUAGGAGUCCUUUACUGCUAUUAAAUGUUAAAAAAAGGGAUAAAAAGUAUAUAAAAAUAUUUUUUUUAUUGAUAAGCUCAUACAAUUAUAUUUAUAUAUAUUAACAAAAUAAGUGUAUAGCUACUAUGCUAUCUGAAGUAUAGAUGAUUUAAUAUUUCUAAUUUGUUGACCCCUGAAUCAAGAAUUAUAUAGUUGGAAUGAUUGCAAUCCUUUCUAGGAUUGAGUUAGUACCUUUACAGUUGAGGUAAUAGUAUUAAUCUAAAAAUUAGAAAUGUUCAAAGGGGAUGAUCUAAGAAUGAAAAAGUAAGAAAAUAUUAUAUUCUUUAUGUUCCUAAUAGCAUAAUAGCUCUACUCAUAAAAUAAUUAAUUACUUAUCACAAUAAAUAAAAUAUUUAUUGUAGAAUUUGGAAUAGGAAUUAAGGGCCCGUGAACGAAUGACUAAUGUAGCUUUAAAAGUGAAAGAGAGAGAGAGAGAGAGAGAGAGAGAGAGGAAUAUAUGUGAGAGGUAAACGCGUAGGAAGCGACGGGAAAUUACUAAUGCGGUGGUCCCCACACGACGACCAUGGAAAAAGCAUUUCGUAAUCGCGAAGUAGGGGUUUUUUACUAAACUAACCUUUCUUUUUAUUUCAUAAUAAUUUUAAAAUUAAAACUAAAUUUCGAGUGGUAGCGACUGCAAAGAAAAUAUUUUUAAAGAAAAUGGUGAUAUGAACUGAACAAAUCGUAGGCACCACUCAAUUGUUCUAGAAAUUUGAGGUAAAUAAUCUUUGGAGAUCCCCUCAAAUAUAGUUUGGGACGUCGAUGGGCACAGAUAUUUAAAAUUGUAUUUGAAUAUGAAUCUGAAUGGACUGAUGGUAAAAUAGUAAUGAUUUUGAUUAUGAAUAUACAGAUUGGAAAUCUACGGAUUUUGAUCUAGGUAUUAUUUUUGUAUGUACAUGAACAGAAGCUAAACUGAAACCAAACUAUAUAGAGUAAGGCUACUAUGCUAUCGGAAGCACGGAGCCUUCCGUGCUUCCAGCUCGUUUUUGAUGUUGCGACUUUCGAAUCGUCGAUCGACUCCGUUAAACUUGAUCUAGAGUAUUUGAAGUACCUAGAAAAUAAAUUUUAUGAUUUUAAGAUAUCAUUUGCCUAGUGAACGAAGGGACUCAAAAUCAACGGCUGAAAAUAAAAAUCUUACAAAAUGUAAUAAUAUGACAUUAAAAUUUUAAAUCAAAGAUAUUGAUCUUGUUUUAUAUAGUAUAAAGAAUUUUCUAUCAAAAUUUCACGUGAUUUGGAUAUUUCUACACCGUUAAACUUGUAAACGGCUCACUACGGCCAUUGAAAUUUGUUGAUUUUGAGCCCAUUCGAUCACUAGGCAAAUAAUAUCGAAAAAUAAUAAAAUUUAUUUUCUAGAUACUCCAAAUACUCUAGAUCAAAUUUAACGGAGCCGAUCGACGAUUCGAAAGUCGCAACAUCAAAAACGAGCUAGAAGCACGGUAGGCUCCGUGCUUCCAAUAGCAUAGUAGCCUCACUCAACUAUAUAUGUAUAUUAAUAAUAUAAUUUGAUAUUUGGUAUAUUAAAUUGUCGGGUUUGGGUCGGGUUUGGGUUUUUUUGAUUUCGGGUACGGUUUUUGGCUUUUUAUUUGGCAUAGUUUCGGAUUUAGAUGUUUAUAUCCGAUUGUGUUUGGGAACAGUUCCAAAUUUUUUUAAAAAUAUUUUAUUAUAAAAUGUUUACUUCUCUUGUGAAAUAUACAUAACACUUUUAAACAACUUGGAUGAACUAAUUAAAUUUUUUUUAUAUUAUCUAAUACCAGUUUCGUGAUAAUUCAGACGAAUAUAGUAUUCAAACAUGUUGCAGUAUGAUCAAAUUUUUAAAAUUCAAAUACACAAGUUGGCUAAAAAUUUGAUGGUUGAUUUCGAAGUUCCAAGUUGGAAGUCUAAUUAAUUAUAUUUCCAGCUGAGCCUAAUUUUUUUUUAAAAAUAAGCGAACCGCUUGCUAUCUUUGUUCUGGAAAAAAAAAUUCAAAUGGAUUUUAUUUCAUUACUAAAAUAGAAAUGAGAAAUAAAAUUGGAUUGUAUUGUAACGAAAGAUAAAAUGAUAAAUUAUUUAAAAAUAUUUUGUUCAUUAUUGGAAUGAAAAUGUAAAAUGUAAAUUAACAUUUAAAAUUUUCAAAGAGAAUUUUGGUUAAGAGAAAGGAGAGUGGUGAAGAAAGAGGAGAGGAUUGAGUCAUUCUCGUUCCAAGAGGAAUGAAAAUAUAAAAUUAGAUUUCUGUAAAAUAAAUUAAUGAAUUUUAUUUUAAUUUUAUAGUUUAAAAAAAGGUUACUUUUAUAACGGUCUCUCUAAAUAUAGUAAAUUACAAAUAUAUUCCUACAAAAUUUAAUUUUUCUAUGUCAUCUCGACAAAAGUCCUAAUAUUUUUAAAUAUGUUCAUGCCGUUAGUAUCCGUUAGAAAAAACUAGAUAACCAUAAAUAAAAUACUUAAUCCUAAUUAGUUAAUGAAGUGAAUUGACCGUUUUACCCCUCUUUAAUUAAUGGUUGGGAUUUUUCGAGGUACAUAUUUGUGAUGUCAAAAAGAUCAUUUCACUUAUAAAAUAAAUAAUAUUUUAACAGUAAUAAACUAGAUGGAUAUAUUUAAAAAUAUUAAGACUUUUACCAAGUAAUAUAUAAAAAUUAAAUUUUAUAGAAAUAUAUUUAUAAUUCACUAUAUUUAUAAAAAUCUGUAUGGAAUUAACUCUGAGUUUUGACGAGGGAGAUGAUGCUUGUUACCAUCACCCUGUUUCUAUGGCAGAUAAUAUACGCACGAUUCCUCCCCACUGCCACGCAAUCUGAUCCGUUGGAUUACUGUAGGAGGAUCGAACUUAGGCGUAUGUUCUCCACUUGUUUGUGUGUCACGUAAAUAUCUUCGAGGGUAAUGCUUUCCAACGCAAAAGAUAUUUCUUAAAUAUAAAAGUAUACAAAUAUUGAUGAUCAGUACAUGAGAUUCUAAAUUCAAAUUUUAAUUAUUUUUUAAACUUAAUUUAUUUUAAAAAAAUAAAUGAAUCAGAUAACAUGCCAUCUUUCUCUAAAAAAAUAUAAAAUUAUAAAAAUAUUGUAAAAAAUAUUGUUAUCUAAUAAUAUAAACUUUUACAAAAAAAAAAAAAAUGUGUCGUACAAUUUAAUAUGAUAUUAGAGCUGAAGGCUCUAAGUUUGAUUCUAUGAUCCAGCUUUUAUUUAAUUUAAUUUUCUUUCGAUUAAUUGAAAAUCAACAAAAUGGGCCUAUUAAAAAGCUUCGAACUUUUUUUAAUGGUUGACACCCAUUUAACUUUUAAUUAUUUUUUAAUUUGAGUUCUUAUUGUUAAUUAAGUUAAUUAUUUGGGUUAAAUUUCAUCGCUCGAGCUAUUUGCAGUUAAUUAAUCUAGUUUUAUUUCUUACGAAGUAGCUUAAAAUAUUAAAUUUGAUAUAAUUAUCAAUUUAUUUGAUAAAAUCUCUAUUUACUUAGCUAAAAUUAUUUAAAUAUAAAAUUUUAAAAGUUUAGAAGAUCUCAAUGAAAAAAAGGGGGAAAAAAACUUAUAGAGGACAAUUUAAAAAAGGCCAAUAGUUGAGAGGGUCUCCGUACAUUUUUAGCUCAAUAAAAUUAGUAUAAAUUAAAAUAAUUAAAAGGUGUCUAUCUCAAAAUAGCGGAUGAUUGAGAGGAAUCUGAUAAAAUUUUUAUAUCUAAAAUAUUAAAUUAUCAGUUAACUAUCUCAUGUUCAAAAUUAACUCACCAAUUAUAUUUACACGCCUUUUAUUGAUUCAAGAUUUAUAAUACUUUGAUAUGCUGUACAUUUUAUAUUAGAAAUGACAAAUAUAUUACUAAUUUAUUAAUUCGUUUAGAUCAGAAAUUAUUAAGAACUAGUAUAAUUUUAUUAAUAGACCACUCAGAAAUGUCUCCCAUAAUAAGUGUACCUCAUAAUUCAUAAUAAUUAAUCUAGUAUUUCUACUAUCUUAAAAUUUACAGUAAUUUUACUAUUUUACUAAUAUUUUUUUAUAGCUUUUCAAUUUAAAUUAAAUAAUAAUAAUUUAAAUAUUUUUAAUAAAAAAUAUAAAAAUUUACUGAAUAUUACAAAUGGUGAAUGAAAUGGGCCCAUUUCCAUUCUAUAUUAUUAAGCAGCUAUUUUGAUCACUUCACAAGAUUUCUCUUAACAAAGAGAAUACCAUAAUAGUGGAGGAUAUUUAUCUAUCUGUUUUUUAUAAAUUAAUCCCCACUUUUGGUAAUGUCGUAACGUGUCCAAAGAUCUAUUCCCCAUGGAACAUGUCCAGUUGUACUAAUUAUUAUUACAUUGAAAAUAAAAUAAGAAAACAAAACCAUGUGGCAAAAAUGUGAGCAAUGCUUGGUUGAUGUGAUGUGACAUAUAUGUAGAGAGAGAGAGAGAGAGAAAGUAGGAUUUCUGUGUUGUUAAAAAUACUUGUGCUUCUAAUUUCUUAACUCUUUAUCAAUUUUGAUGAAUGAUUAAGGUAAGAAAGAGAAAAAAAUUGAAGAAAAAUAUAAUUAGUUUAGAAUAUUAUUAAUAGCAUUAAGUUAUUAGUGUUAUUAAAUUUUUUGCUUUUGGAUGAAGGGAUGUGCAGUUAAGACGAUAGUGAUCCUUUAGGAUUGAGUGGGUGAUUUGUUGAAUAUAUAGUAUGAUCUAACGGAUAAAAAUGAUCAAAAAAAUAUAUUUAACGGCAAAAAACUUGGUAGCAUCAAAUAUUUGGUGCUAUCGAUAGUAUUGUCGCGGGACUCUCUCAGUCUCUCUCUCUCUCUCUUCCUCUCUCUCUAUCUCUCUCUCUCUCUCUCUCUCUCUAUAUAUAUAUAUAUAUAUAUAUAUAUAUAUAUAUAUAUAUAUAGUCCGGCUGUAAUACUAUCGAUAGCACCAAGCGCGCGCUUGGUGCUAUCGAGUUUUCUGCCGUUAGAUUUAACCCUUUGACUUUUUUUAUCCUUUAGAUUAUACUAUUCAAUAAAUAACUUACUCAACCCUAGAGGGCCCACAUCAUCGUAACCGUACGUUUUUUCAUUCAAGGGCCGAAAAUUUAAUAGCACCAAGCGCUUGAUGCUAUCGAUAGUAUUCCAGCCUAGUUAUAUAUAUAUAUAUAUAUAUAUGGGUCCGGCUACUAUACUAUUAUGAGUAUGAUCGCCCUCGUACUCAUAAGUUAUUUUCGAUGAUAGAGCUUUCGAAUCGAUGAUCCACACCGUUAAACGUUAUUUAUAGCAUUUAAAAUUUCUAGAAAUCAAAUUUUAUAAUUUUCCGACAUCAUUUACCUUACGAUCAAGAGGUCACAAAUUUGACAAUUUUUAACGGCCGGUAUGGAAUACUUGCUAGUUUAACGGUGUAAAACAAUCGAAAUUUGUUGAAUUUUUGAUAGAAAAUUCUAUUCACUACAUAGAUAAAGAUCAAUAACUCCGAUCUUGAAUUGAAGGAUCCGAUCAUUUUUUUUAGGACAUCGUUCGAUUUUGACCGUUCAUUUUAUGCCCACUUGAUGAACUUUAUUAUGAUUUCAAAAAUUUACGAAAUUAAAUUUCUAGAAGUUUCAAAUACUCUAGAUCAUAUUUAACUGAGUGGAUCGUCGAUUCGGAAGCUCCAUCAUUGAAAACAACUUAUGAGUACGAGGGCUCCAAUACUCAUAAUAGUAUAGUAGCCAUGGCCUAUAUAUAUAUAUAUAAUCUGGCUACUAUACUUUUAUGAGUACGAUCGCCCUCGUACUCAUAAGUCGUUUUCAAUGAUAAAGCUUCCAAAUCGACGAUCCAUACCGUUAACCAUUAUCUAGAGCAUUUAAAACUUCUAGAAAUCAAAUUUCAUAAUUUUUCGACAUCAUUUGCCUUACGAUCGAACGCUCACAAAAUUGACAAUUUUUAACGGCCGGUAUGAGAUACUUGUUAGUUUAACAGUGUAAAAGAUUCGGAAUAUGUUGAAUUUUUUAUAAAAAAUUCUAUUCACUAUCUAAAUAAAGAUCAAUAACUUCGAUCUUAAAUUGAAGGAUCCGAUCAUUUAUUUUUAAGACGUCGUUCAAUUUUGACUGCCCAUUUUAUGCUCGUUUGAUGGACUUCAUUAUGAUUUCGAAAAAUUACGAAAUUUAUUUUUAAAAAUUUCAAAUACUAGAAGAUCACAUUUAACGAAAUUUAUUUUUUAGAAGUUUCAAAUACUCUAGAUCAUAUUUAACGGAAUUUGAUAUAUAUAUCAAACUCAAGUGAAGAGAGGACCCCAAACUUCAUCAUAGUUUCCGUUGAGAUAUAAUUUCACAGGGAUAUUAUACUUAUGAAAGUACCAUUACAUUCACAUGGUCUUCUUGAGACCUAAGAUGCAUGGAACUAAUUUGUGCUUUUAUUCUUAAAGUAGUAAUAUUCCAACACAACAUAUUCCUACACCGUCUCAAAUUCUCCCUCAAUAAACCCAUAUGCAAUUCGUGAAUUAUGCUACAAUACUCUUAGAAGUCCUAACUUUUGAGUAUUCGCAUGUCAUUUUUUAUGAUUAGAUAACAUAGUCAUAGCGCCAAAUUUUAUGAUUAUUCAAUAUUAUUUAUUAAUUAAUUAAGCAGUCUCAAAAUUAAUAAUUUCGAACCGUAUGCUUGAUUAUUAGAUAAAUAUAUGUCAAAAAAAAUUUAAAAAUGGUGGGGGUU
rnacentral:lncRNA from 1 species